ensembl:lncRNA
CCAAAGUAUUGGAGCUCCGACUUCAGCAUCAGUCCUUCCAGUGAAUAUUCAAGGUUGAUUUCCUUUAGGAUGGACUGGGAGAUAAAGAUCAUUCAAUCCUGAAGGAAAUCAGCAGCUGGUGAUGGAAUGUCAUCCUUUUGACUUCUAGAUUCCUUCUUUACCCGAGUCGACUAUAACUCUACCUUGUUCUGCAGAGAGCAUUUUGGAGUUCUUACUUUUACACUGCUCUAUCUGACUGGAAUGCCUUGUGCUAGAAUCAUAACUCCUCUCUCAUGGUCUAGUUGCAAUGGUACCUCUUCCAAGAAGCCUCCUGCAGUCGUUCCAAAGACAAGUUAUCUUUCCCUCUUCAAUGAACUAAUGUGUGGUAUGAAACAGAACAUGAAGCAAACAUUCCUCCAAAUGAUUUUAGCUCCUAAACUCAACCAGUAGCACUUUUGAGCAUAAAUAAAGCUUUAGACUCUCUUUUAUCUACCUUAGCAACUAAUAGUAUUUUGUGUAGAGAGUCAAUAAAGAUGUUUGAAUGAAUGAAUAAAUUAAUCUGUCAGUAUGGCAUGCAUGAGCAUUAUUAGGCUGUUCUACCUUUCUUUCAAUUAUAGUGGCUCCAUUGGAGCAAUUAUACUUCUUUCUUAUCACUUGGGACUAGAUGUCAAAGAAUUUUGUGACUUAAACAUGAAUAAGAG